GCCGCGUCUUAAAAUCUAAAUUGGAUAAUAAGAGUUUUUCAGAAUUUAAAUGACUGACAAAUAUAACCGCUCACUAUAUUGGAUUGUUUCGAAAAUAAAUUACCAAUACUUUGAUUGACUUCUCCGACAUCAGUGAAGGACGGCAAGAAUGAUGAAGCAAUUCUUAUGUCACAAUUAUUAAAAAUCGUGCACCUGGGCUUGCACUCUGUCACUGUGCAGGACUAUGUUUUUACUGAGUGACAUGAAAUGGGAGCUGGUGUUCAAUCCCAUUUUUUCAGCCAAAAUAUCGUCUGAAUGCCAGUCACUCGACCCAAUCAUUUGCCAAAUUCCAUUCUCAACAGCAACAUUGCUUUUACAAAUGGUACAAAUCCCAUUCUUAGUGAUCCAAAUUCUAAUUUCUCAGUGAGGAUAUAUGCUACAUACGUAUAUACCCAUUUUAUUGACCCCUUCAUGCUCGAGUCUCAUUACUGAUACUACAUACCGGCCAUGGAGCUGUCUUCUUAAUUAUUAUUGUAGCCAUGUGUGUUUUGUGAAAGUUUU